UUUUUGUGAACUAAAAAAAGUGAAUGUGGCUUAGGCUAAGCUGUUUUUUUUUUUUUUUUUUUAAAGAUGAGGAUGCGGACUCCAACAAAGGCAUUAAGAAAGUACUAGAUGAAAAUGAGAAAUAUGUGAAGGAUAACAUGUGAAAUGUACACUCAGGUCUAACAAAUACCUAUUAUUUCUCUGGUUAAGAAGGUUUAGCAGGAGCCUCCAAUGAGCACUGUAUGUAGAGAAAAGGGAAGGAGCAGGAGGAGGAACAGAUCUGCACAGAAUUUUUUUCUUAAAAACCACAAAGGGUGACUUUUUUCUUCUAAGCAAGCAAGCCUGAGAGGCAUUACAUGGGCUGGCUCCUAAUAUCAAAACAAAAUAUUUCUUUGCCACAAAGGAACUUGACUAUGUAGCAACACAUUUACAAAACUACUGCAAAACACUCCCAGAGGGCAGUGACCUACUCUGCUCCCCAGAGGCUCCAAGAAGCAAGGCCUCAAGUGCCUCAUGUUCCAUGGGGCUGUGCAGUGCAAUGCAGAAGGCGGAAAUCCUGCUGUGACGCCACCCUCGAGACCUUCUGCAGCCUGAGAGGGGGUGAUACUCCCACACCCUUUGAUCCUUCCAGAUGGCUCAGCCUAGAUCUAGCAGUGAGAGAGCCCUCUCCAUGCAGGGCAGAUGGAGUGGUGGACACUUGUGAAAACAAAACACUAACUGUUCCAUCCUGUUAUAUUUGCUGUGAGGAAAAUUAAGAUUCCUGUUGUAUGGGCUGCACUGUUUCUGGAAGACUACAGAAAAUCUAACAUGGUUGACACUUCCUGGUAGCCCUUCUGUACAUACACACACACACACCCAGAGAGAAGACAGAGAGAAAAUCCUGGUCCAAAAGAUCACAUGACCUUACUAGUGUUUCCCCAAUGACUGUAAUUUAUAAACUAAAAAUUUUUACAAAUCCACUGCUAUCUUCUUCUGUCCUGAGUUUGGUAGACUUUAAUGGAUGCUCCAGCAAUAACCAGAAUCUAGGACAUGCAGACUCACUGUGAGCGAGAGGCUAGGGAUCUGCCCUAAACAUAGGAACCUGUUUCUAUCAAGCCUGAAUGAGGUCAGCUCUGGUAGAAUUAAUGACAAAUCAAUGUCAGUGAAAUAUUCUGCAAACAGGGUAGCUUUUGUGCUUUCUUUUGAUUAUUUUCUUUGGGGAGAUAAAGGUAUUGCAACCAUGGGUCUAACUAAUCUAUCACUAAAGGACUGUGACGACAUUCUCAAUAAAGACAGUCAUGGUGUUUACUGUGCCAAGGAGGGAAAAUCCCAGAUCAUCAGAAUCCCAGUGCAACAGAAAACAGCACCAGUUUCAACAAUUCUGAUGUUGGACAAAGCCUCUUUUUGUCAGUUAAGAAAGCGUAAGCACAAUCUCUCAGUCAAUUGCAUUAACAGGAAUCCAUUCAUGUCACUGAAAAAUACUUCUUGGCACAGUUCACUUUCCUGACCCAAAGACACCAACAACAAUCAAAACUGCACUUUCAGGGUAGUAUAUUGUUACACUAGCCCAGUCAAAACAUACUCAGAACAUUUAAAAAUGUAUAAAUUACUGUUAGCACUGCAGUUCCGUUUUAUUUUCUUAUUUAUUUAUUAAGACAGAGUCUUACUCUGUUGCCCAGGCUGGAGUGCAGUGGCAUGAUCUUGGCUUACUGCAACCUCUGCCUCCCAGGUUUAAGCAAUUCUCAUGCUUCAGCCUACCAAGUAGCUGGGAUUACAGGAGUGCACCAUCAUGCCCAGCUAAUUUUUGUAUUUUAGUAGAGAUGGGGUUUUGCCAUGUUGGUCAGGCUGGUCUCAAACUCCUGGCCUCAAGUGACCCACCUGCCUUGGCCUCCCAAAGUGCUGGGAUUACAGGUGUGAGCCACUACACCCAGCCCUGCAGUCCCUUUUUAAAGAGUACUGACUGUUUUCCUGCAAAGUACUUUCAAAUCCAUACCAUAAAGGUAGAAUUUAUCUGGAAGAAUGUGUUUUUUGAAUUCCACCUGGCACUUGGUUAAAUCUACUUUAUUUUGCCCUUUAUUUAUUUGAACAGAACUUUAGAAUGCUCUAGGUCAGGAAAAGAAACAGUGUGUUCGUUUUUAAGAAGGAUGUGUGAAUAGUAAGUUGGCAUUCAGACUCAAGUCCCAUGGUAUUGUUCUUAUCCAAUGGGACCUCUCCUUGGGAAUAUAAUUCCUUUCCCAGAGGUAUCAUGGUAUCCCAAGAAUAUAACUGCUCUUUGGCUCUGUGUGUGAAGAUUGGGGGAGAGGAUGUAAACUAAGAGUAUA
rnacentral:lncRNA from 1 species